rnacentral:rRNA from 1 species
UUAUACUCGCGAAACUGCGAAUGGCUCAUUAAAUCAGUUAUCGUUUAUUUGAUAAUACCUUACUACUUGGAUAACCGUGGUAAUUCUAGAGCUAAUACAUGCUAAAAAUCCCGACUUCGGAAGGGAUGUAUUUAUUAGAUUAAAAACCAAUGCCCUCUGGGCUCACUGGUGAUUCAUAAUAACUUCUCGAAUCGCAUGGCCUUGCGCCGGCGAUGGUUCAUUCAAAUUUCUGCCCUAUCAACUUUCGACGGCUGGGUCUUGGCCAGCCAUGGUGACAACGGGUAACGGAGGGUUAGGGCUCGACCCCGGAGAAGGAGCCUGAGAAACGGCUACUACAUCCAAGGAAGGCAGCAGGCGCGCAAAUUACCCAAUCCCGACUCGGGGAGGUAGUGACAAUACAUACUGAUACAGGGCUCUUUUGGGUCUUGUAAUUGGAAUGAGUACAAUUUAAAUCUCUUAACGAGGAACAAUUGGAGGGCAAGUCUGGUGCCAGCAGCCGCGGUAAUUCCAGCUCCAAUAGCGUAUAUUAAAGUUGUUGCGGUUAAAAAGCUCGUAGUUGAACCUUGGGCCUGGCUGGCCGGUCCGCCUCACCGCGUGCACUGGUUCGGUCGGGCCUUUCCCUCUGGGGAACCGCAUGCCCUUCACUGGGCGUGUCGGGGAACCAGGACUUUUACUUUGAAAAAAUUAGAGUGUUCAAAGCAGGCCUAUGCUCGAAUACAUUAGCAUGGAAUAAUAGAAUAGGACGUGCGGUUCUAUUUUGUUGGUUUCUAGGACCGCCGUAAUGAUUAAUAGGGACAGUCGGGGGCAUCAGUAUUCAAUUGUCAGAGGUGAAAUUCUUGGAUUUAUUGAAGACUAACUACUGCGAAAGCAUUUGCCAAGGAUGUUUUCAUUAAUCAGGAACGAAAGUUAGGGGAUCGAAGACGAUCAGAUACCGUCGUAGUCUUAACCAUAAACUAUGCGAACUAGGGAUCGGACGAUGUUAUUUUUUGACUCGUUCGGCACCUUACACGAAAGUACAAGUGUCUGCGUUCCGGGGGAU